UACACACCGCCCGUCACACCACGAAAGUGGGUUACACCAGAAGUCGGUGCGCCAACCGCAAGGGGGGCAGCCGCCCAAGGUAUGACUCAUGAUUGGGGUG
rnacentral:rRNA from 1 species